GCCUGAGGGAUGGCUGGCUCAGUCAGCAGAGCAUGAGACUCUUAAUCUCAGGGUCGUGGGUUCAAACCCCACAUUAGAUG